ACCCACCAGCGAAAGUGAAAGACAUUGAAAAGGGACUACAAGUGUGCUAUCUUACUCAGGACUAUCGCUGAAUGAACUAUACUAAAAUACUUCGGGUCUUGAAGUUGGUAACCAUGGGUCACCAAUUUAACUUUUCUUCUUUUGUUAGCGUAUAUUAACAAAAUUAUGCAAAAUAAUGUCUCUGAAAACUUAAAAAUGCUGAUAUGAAUAAUUUGUGUUGUUUGUUCUCCCUCUCUUUUGUAUUUAAUUGUGAAAGCUGAGUUUUACGCAGAAGAUGUAGCUCAAUGGUAAGAAUUCACCUAGCAUAUACUCAAGGCCUUGGAUUGGAUUCCCAGCCCUGGUUUGUUUGUAUCAGGGAAAAUACAUACUAUGCCUCUGUUAGAAGUUAAUAAAAUUCAAAAGAUAACUACGCUAUUCAGAAAACAGUUAAAAUAAUUUUCAAAGACUCGGCUUAUGUUGUGAGAAGAAACAAUGCCUGUGGCAAAAGCCAUUCAUCCAUAAAUUCAACAAUGUAAAAGCCUCAGAAAUAUCGAUGUCCUUCUACCUGUAAUGAUGCUUUGUUGAAAUGAAAUUCACAUAUGCAGUUCAUCCAUUUAAAGGGUGUAGUCCAGUGCGUUUUAGUUUGCUCAGAUUUCCAACGGUGAACACAAUUAUACAAGAAAACUAUACUAUGCAAAACCAUGUGCUUAGACUUAACUGGAAGGAUAAAUGAAAAUGGGGGAGAAAAAACAAAAAUACUAAGAGUUGUAAUGAAAAACUUUUAUAGCAUCAAAGGAAGUUAUUACAAAGUCCUGUCACUAGUCCAUCCAAUCCAAUCCAGGUGUCUGGCAAAUGUGGACUUAGCUGUAUCUUAG
rnacentral:lncRNA from 1 species